AUUGAACGCUGGCGGCAGGCCUAACACAUGCAAGUCGAGCGGAUGAAGGGAGCUUGCUCCUGGAUUCAGCGGCGGACGGGUGAGUAAUGCCUAGGAAUCUGCCUGGUAGUGGGGGAUAACGUCCGGAAACGGGCGCUAAUACCGCAUACGUCCUGAGGGAGAAAGUGGGGGAUCUUCGGACCUCACGCUAUCAGAUGAGCCUAGGUCGGAUUAGCUAGUUGGUGGGGUAAAGGCCUACCAAGGCGACGAUCCGUAACUGGUCUGAGAGGAUGAUCAGUCACACUGGAACUGAGACACGGUCCAGGCCCCUACGGGAGGCAGCAGUGGGGAAUAUUGGACAAGGGCGAAAGCCUGAUCCAGCCAUGCCGCGUGUGUGAUGAAGGUCUUCGGAUUGUAAAGCACUUUAAGUUGGGAGGAAGGGCAGUAAGUUAAUACCUUGCUGUUUUGACGUUACCAACAGAAUAAGCACCGGCUAACUUCGUG
rnacentral:rRNA from 1 species